rnacentral:tRNA from 1 species
GAAAGCAGAACUCGAGUGGUUGAGUGUCUCCCUUUUAAGGAGACAGUCCUGGUUCAAGUCCAGGUGCUUUCA